GACGAAUGCUGGCUGCGUGCUUAACACAUGCAAGUCGAACGGUGAUGGAGGGCUUGCCCUCCGGAUCAGUGGCGAACGGGUGAGUAACACGUGGGCAACCUGCCCCUCACUCUGGGAUAACGCCGGGAAACCGGCGCUAAUACCGGAUACGACCAGGCGCGACAUCUCGCCUGGUGGAAAGAAGUUAGGUGAGGGAUGGGCCCGCGGCCGAUCAGCUUGUUGGUGGGGUAACGGCCCACCAAGGCGACGACGGGUAGCCGGCCUGAGAGGGCGACCGGCCGCACUGGGACUGAGACACGGCCCAGACUCCUACGGGAGGCAGCAGUGGGGAAUAUUGCGCAAUGGGCGAAAGCCUGACGCAGCGACGCAGCGUGAGGGACGAAGGCCUUCGGGUUGUAAACCUCUUUCAGCUGGGACGAAGCGAAAGUGACGGUACCCGCAGAAGAAGCACCGGCUAACUACGUGCCAGCCGCCGCCGUAACAC
rnacentral:rRNA from 1 species